GGACAGGCAGCACGGCUGCCCAGUAGGAACCAGAAGGUUCUCAGAGGGCCCAUCCUCACACUGCCGGAUGGGGGGCACAGCAGGGGGUCCCUGUGGUUAGCUUGGUUCCCUCAGGGUCUUGGGAUCUGGGGCGGUUGCUUGUUCCCACUUAGAAAGUUGAACACCUGACUGUGUUUGAAACAGGCCAACCAGGGGCUGGUCCUCGCCAACAGUGUCCGCAGGAGGGGGGGAAACACACGGGCCUCUGCUCUUUCAGAAUUAAAUGGCUAUGCCUGAAAAGGAGAAGAGUGGAGUGUCCUGGUGUGUCCACUGCUGUGGGACCCUGAAGGCACGGAAGCCACUCAUCUAACACAGCAUUUCUCCUGGGCCUCUGCUCUGUGCAAGUCAGGACAAAUCGCAGUCUUCUUGAGAAGACAUAUAUUCUCUGAGACACAUAUUUCUGAAAACUUGAGUCAAGUAUACACAACUCAUUUUUGUUCAGUGACUGCUUCUGGACAUGAUUCAGAUUGUUAUGCAGCCUUUUCUGGGUCACCAGAGCUGCUCCUAGGAAAAGUGGGAAAAUGCAGAGGUGACCCCACAGGCCCUGCAGGGGGUUGGCAUGGCGUGGGGAGUGUGGACGAGGCAGGAAGUCACAUUUCCUGCCUAUGUCCUCUGGGCACUGCGCUGGGCACUUGCAGGCAGUGUGUCAGCUAGUCCUUGGGACUCUAGGAUGAAGUAGGUGGCAUUCCUACGGAAAGAUGAAGAAACCAAGACUCAGAGAGGUUAAGUCACUUGCCAAGGGCCUGUCUACUCAGCAGUGACGCCCGGUGAUUCACAGGCCGGAAGCCAGGGCUCGCACCUCCCUGCCCGUUGGCUCUUGCAGCGAGCGCUGCUUUUCAGAAAACAGUGCUGUUCUUUCAUUGUGCUGAUCCAGGAAAGGGGAAGGUCGAGCAUUACUCCAGCAGUGCCCUUGCUCCUGCCAGGGCAGAACUUUCACACUGUUUUGGUCCACGGCUGUAUUAAGAAAUACAUUGGACAGGAAGCCCCUGUUCAGUUUUAUACAUAAAAUUUCAAAAUGUUUCAUAAAACCAUUCUUACAUUUA